rnacentral:rRNA from 1 species
GAAAGUUGUGGCAGUCUGGGCGAACAAUACUCUUUAAGUUUGACCUCAAAUCAGGUAGGAUUACCCGCUGAACUUAAGCAUAUCAAUAAGCGGAGGAAAAGAAACCAACCGGGAUUGCCUUAGUAACGGCGAGUGAAGCGGCAAAAGCUCAAAUUUGAAAUCUAGUACCUUUGGUGCUCGAGUUGUAAUUUGUAGAGGGAUACUUUGGGGCCGUCUCUUAUCUAUGUUCCUUGGAACAGGACGUCAUAGAGGGUGAGAAUCCCGUAUGAUGAGAGUCGCGGUUCUAUGUAAAGUUCCUUCGAAGAGUCGAGUUGUUUGGGAAUGCAGCUCUAAGUGGGUGGUAAAUUCCAUCUAAAGCUAAAUAUUGGCGAGAGACCGAUAGCGAACAAGUACAGUGAUGGAAAGAUGAAAAGAACUUUGAAAAGAGAGUGAAAAAGUACGUGAAAUUGUUGAAAGGGAAGGGCAUUUGAUCAGACAUGGUGUUUUGCGCCCUCUGCUCCUUGUGGGUGGGGGACUCUCGCAGCUCACUGGGCCAGCAUCAGUUUUGGCGGUAGGAUAAAUCCAUAGGAAUGUAGCUUGCCUCGGUAAGUGUUAUAGCCUGUGGGAAUACUGCCAGCCGGGACUGAGGACUGCGACAUUCGUCAAGGAUGCUGCU